AGGUGGAUGCCCACGGGGCUGGAGAUCAGUGUUUGCUCUAUGACAGCCCCUUAUCAGCAACCUUUAACCGUGUUUGCUCGGCCCCUCCGGCCAUUGGGCUCUGGCUCCCUCCGGGACAAGGAGCGCUGGCUCAGCACAUACCGGGAGCGCGGCAGGCACCAGGAGCCAGGUCGCAUCCUGACCCUGCAGUGAUGGAGCCCGGCGACGGCUCGGAGGAGCCCCCAUUGCCUCUGGCACUGGCGAGGUUUCAGCUCUCCGAGGAAUACGGUUCCCUGCUUCCCGAGCCUCUGACAGAGCUGCCGGCACCCUAUGGUCCAUGGAUGGAGAUUGCCCACGACCUGCCUCAGCUGAUCACGAGCCAUGGGCUCCGCUCACGAGUUCACCAGAUGCCACAGCUGAGCACCCGGCACCUCCAUGGGCGCAAGGAGCUGCACUUGGCACAUCUGGUGCUCAGCUUCAUCACCAUGGGCUACCUCUGGCAGGAGGGCGAGGAGGGCACCGUGAAGGUCCUGCCCCAAAACCUUGCUGUCCCCUUCUGGGAGGUCUCACAGGCUCUGGGCCUCCCUCCCAUCCUCAGCCACGCAGACAUUGUGUUGGCCAACUGGAGGAGGAAGAACCCCAAUGGGCCUCUGGAAAUCGACAACCUGGACACCAUCAUUGCAUUGCCUGGGGGAGAGAGCCUGAGAGGCUUCAUCCUCGUCACCCUCCUGGUUGAGAAGGCGGCUGUGCCAGGGUUUAAGGCAAUUGUGGAGGCUGUUCGUGCUGUGCUGCAGCUGGAUGAGGAGACCCUGCACAGAGCACUGCAGGAGAUGGCAGGGGCCAUCCGGGACAUGAGCAAGGCUUUGAAACGGAUGCAUGACCAUGUGGAUCCAGCAGUGUUCUACUCCGUGAUCCGCAUCUUUCUCUCUGGCUGGAAGGAUAACCCGGCCAUGCCGGAUGGGCUGAUAUACGAAGGGGUAUCCGAUGAGCCCAUGGAGUACUCGGGAGGGAGCGCGGCACAGAGCACCAUCCUUCACGCCUUUGAUGAGCUCCUGGGCAUUCGCCACAGCGAGGAGAGCGCCGCCUUCCUGCACAGGAUGAGGGGCUACAUGCCCCCGCCACACAGAGCCUUCGUGGAGGAGAUCCACCGCGCCCCAUCCCUGAAGCAGCGGGUGCUCUCCUCCGGGGACACGCGGCUCCACGCGGCUUUCAACCAGUGCGUGUCCGCGCUGGCGGACUUCAGGUCCCACCACAUCACCAUCGUCACCAAGUACAUCAGCAUCGCGGCGGCCAAGGCCAAGGCCAAGGCUGGGCGGGCAGAGCAGGGCACCGAGGCUGGCUCCUCCACAGGGAAGCCCCCGUCCGCACUGGAGGCCAAAGGGACCGGUGGGUCCCACAUCUUCAGCUUCCUGAAGAGCAUCAGGGACACGACGAGGGAAGGGAUGAUAAGUGCCUGACUUGCCAUGGGGUUUGCACUGUGCAGGAGGCCACACCUCUGCAGCACCUGAGCAGCAGUCCAACCACAGGGACCUUCACCCAAACCUCCUCCAGCAGCACCCUUCCUGCUUGUGCACGUCUGGGACAUGUGGGACAUGCUCUGGGUUGUUGAGGGAGGAAAGCACCGCUGUUGGGGACCCCCAGAAGGCACGCAGUGAGGCACAGCAUCCUUCCACAGCACCAUGAUGGGCACAGCAUCCUUCCACGGCACCAUGAUGGGCACAGCAUCCUUCCACAGCACCAUGAUGGGCACAGCAUCCUUCCACAGUACCAUGAUGGGCGCAGCAUCCUUCCACGGCACCAGGAUGGGCACAGCAUCCUUCCACAGCACCAUGAUGGGCACAGCAUCUUUCCAUGGCAAUGGCAUGGGCACAGCAUCCUUCCACAGCACCAUGAUGGGCACAGCAUCUUUCCAUGGCAAUGGCAUGGGCACAGCAUCCUUCCACGGCACCGGGAUGGCACAACACCCAUCCAUGGCAAUGGCAUGGGCACAGCAUCCCUUCAAUGCACCAGGAUCAGCACAACACCCCCCCCACAGCACCGGGAAGAGCCGUGUCCAUCCAAGCCCUGCUUGCUGCACCGCACCAGGCUCGCUCCCCCCACCCCCGGAACCCUUGGGGUUACACGGACUGAUAAAUAAAGCAGCGCUUCCCCCCCCG